UACGUAGGGGGCAAGCGUUGUCCGGAUUUAUUGGGCGUAAAGAGCGUGUAGGCGGCCAGUUAGGUCGGUUGUGAAAACUGGAGGCUCAACCUUCAGAGGUCGACCGAAACCAUCUGGCUAGAGUCCGGGAGAGGAGAGUGGAAUUCCUGGUGUAGCGGUGAAAUGCGCAGAUAUCAGGAAGAACACCCGUGGCGAAAGCGGCUCUCUGGGACGGUACUGACGCUGAGACGCGAAAGCGUGGGGAGCGAACCGG
rnacentral:rRNA from 1 species